GCUUUGAUGGCUCAGUGGUUAAGGUGUUGGACUCAUAAUUCAAUGGGCUCUUCCUUCACAAGUUCAAACCCUGCUCACAGUG
rfam:Mus musculus chromosome 14, GRC primary reference assembly.